GAAGUAAAUAAAAAUGAACUUCUAAUUCAUUAAUUUAUAGAAAUUUUUCUAUAUUACUUUU
rnacentral:tRNA from 1 species